GGCGGGGUAACUCAGGUGGACAGAGUUCGAGGCUGCUACCCUCUGAGACGCCAGUUCGAGUCUGGCCCCCGCCGCCA
rnacentral:tRNA from 1 species